rnacentral:tRNA from 1 species
AUCCUUUUAGUAUAUAAGUAUAUUUAACUUCCAAUUAAAAGGUUUGAUUUUCAAAAAGGAUA